rnacentral:rRNA from 1 species
ACGCUCGACACCUACGGGAGCAGCAGUGAGGAAUAUUGGUCAAUGGGCGCUAGCCUGAACCAGCCAAGUAGCGUGAAGGAUGAAGGCUCUAUGGGUCGUAAACUUCUUUUAUAUAAGAAUAAAGUGCAGUAUGUAUACUGUUUUGUAUGUAUUAUAUGAAUAAGGAUCGGCUAACUCCGUGCAGCAGCCGCGGUAAUCUGAGCGGGCUGGCAAGGC